rnacentral:rRNA from 1 species
CAGCCGCCACGGUAAUACGUAGGGUGCAAGCGUUAUCCGGAAUUAUUGGGCGUAAAGAGCUCGUAGGCGGUUUGUCGCGUCUGCUGUGAAAACUGGAGGCUCAACCUCCAGCCUGCAGUGGGUACGGGCAGACUAGAGUGCGGUAGGGGAGAUUGGAAUUCCUGGUGUAGCGGUGGAAUGCGCAGAUAUCAGGGGGAACACCGAUGGCGAAGGCAGAUCUCUGGGCCGUAACUGACGCUGAGGAGCGAAAGCGUGGGGAGCGAACAGGAUUAGAUACCCGCGUAGUCCCUGUCUCUUAUAC